AUAGAAACGUGUUGCAAAGAGAAUGCUGAUAAGACAGACCCUGAAUUUAAAGAUGAGUUUAUUAAGUGCAUAGAGAGUGGAACUGGUGGAAUGGAAACACACAAUAAUGAUAAUCGUCCGG